rnacentral:rRNA from 1 species
CGCGUAGGCGGUUCGGUAAGUGGGAUGUGAAAGCCCCGGGCUCAACCUGGGAAUUGCAUUCCAAACUGCCGAGCUAGAGUAUGGUAGAGGGAGGUAGAAUUUCCUGUGUAGCGGUGAAAUGCGUAGAUAUAGGAAGGAAUACCAGUGGCGAAGGCGGCCUCCUGGACCAAUACUGACGCUGAGGUGCGAAAGCGUGGGGAGCAAACA